GGGAGGCUGAGACGGGAGAAUGGUGUGAAC
rnacentral:piRNA from 1 species